rnacentral:lncRNA from 1 species
GGCGGGCUAUAAGUUCCCUUAAGGUGUUAGAGAAAACAAAAGUGCUGACUUAACUUGAAUUUUUGGGGGAGAAUUUGUGUGUUUCUUAAACCACCGUACUGUUUUAGGACUGAAUAAUGCAGGUUGUAAUUAAUCCUUUUUAGUAUUUAUUAGAGUAUGCAGAGUGAUAGAGUAUAAUUGAAGCAAAGAAGCAGCACGUUCCACAGUGCCUGGGGUACCAGGAACAUUCUAGAUGGAGGAAUGCACCAGCUGGUCCUGGGAGACAAGUGGAGGCCAAUCAGGAGAGGAUGGUGCGAAUGAGGGUGGUAAAGGAGAGUGAUCAAAAGGAGAAAAAGAAGGCAAAACCCCAGAAACAGAGGGAGGAAAAAUGUAAAAGGAAAGAAAGAUUGUUGCAUUGAUGGACUUUCGGGAGAUAUUUCAGGUUUUGUACUCUCAUAUGGAAAGUUUUGUUACAAUACAAAAUGUUGCAAUAAACAGGCAAAUACAUUCGUGCCAUUACUUCUGUAGAACAGAUUUAUGCAAGUGGGUGGAAGGGUCAAAGUUUCCUUUCCCCAAAGUUUGCAACAACUCACGCCCUCACCACCAAAAUGCUAGGGAAGAUCCUGAUUGUUUGACUUGGGUCAGACUGGCAUUGGGAAUCAUCACUGUGCCACAUGGCGCAUGGGAGAUUAACACAUCCACCAGGGUACAGGAAUUUUAG